rnacentral:rRNA from 1 species
UACGGAGGGAGCUAGCGUUGUUCGGAAAUACUGGGCGUAAAGCGCACGUAGGCGGCGCAGCAAGUCAGGGGUGAAAUCCCGGGGCUCAACCUCGGAACUGCCCUUGAAACUGCAGUGCUAGAAUCUUGGAGAGGCGAGUGGAAUUCCGAGUGUAGAGGUGAAAUUCGUAGAUAUUCGGAAGAACACCAGUGGCGAAGGCGGCUCACUGGACUGGUAUUGACGCUGAGGUGCGAAAGCGUGGGGAGCAAACGGG